rnacentral:rRNA from 1 species
GAUGAACGCUGGCGGCGUGCCUAAUACAUGCGAGUCGAGCGAACAGACGAGGAGCUUGCUCCUCUGACGUUAGCGGCGGACGGGUGAGUAACACGUGGAUAACCUACCUAUAAGACUGGGAUAACUUCGGGAAACCGGAGCUAAUACCGGAUAAUAUAUUGAACCGCAUGGUUCAAUAGUGAAAGACGGUUUUGCUGUCACUUAUAGAUGGAUCCGCGCCGCAUUAGCUAGUUGGUAAGGUAACGGCUUACCAAGGCAACGAUGCGUAGCCGACCUGAGAGGGUGAUCGGCCACACUGGAACUGAGACACGGUCCAGACGCCUACGGGAGGCAGCAGUAGGGAAUCGUACGCAAUGGGCGAAAGCCUGACGGAGCAACGGCGCGUGAGUGAUGAAGGUCUUCGGAUCGUAAAACUCUGUUAUUAGGGAAGAACAAAUGUGUAAGUAACUAUGCACGUCUUGACGGUACCUAAUCAGAAAGCCACGGCUAACUACGUG